GAGUAGAAAAACCCUAUGCUCCACUCUGCACCCACCUAUCGCCCGAAUACCUCCAUAACCCCUCUCACGUCUUCAUCUCCUCCCGUACCCCUCUCACCUGAACAUCAUCUCACGCCCUCUCAGUACAACUCCUCUCCCCGGUGAACCCCUCUCCGCAAACCUCUCCUCUGAACACCAAUGUGCUGGAAGGCAGCAAAACCCUAACCCUAGAUCACGCCAUGGUCGAGUUUGGAGGCGUCGCCCCCUGCGUGGUGCCCGAGUUGAUGGAUAGUGGCAGCGAUGGCAUAUUCUGAGUGCCUAUCCGCGCCGUCGUACACCCCGGACACCCUCCGACACUCGAGGUGCGCUCCCACCCUCUGCGCGAAACCCAGGCCGGGUCCUUCGUCAGCACCAUUACCUGCCCCGGGUCGUAGCUCUGGGCCAGACUCCUAUCCGACCUAUGGGUGUGGAACCUCAAGGAGGUUUUUGAGAACUGGGAGCCCGACAUCAUGGUAAGGAAAGGCGAUGAGAAAAGCAUGCCCUUUAACGAGUCGUGUCGCGCGUCGCCGACGCUGUGCUUGGCGGUCGAUGCUGCUAAUGGCUUGAUCUGGAGCGGUCACAAGGAUGGAAAGAUCAGGUCUUGGAAUAUGGAAUUACCCAUCACUGCCGAUGCCACUUCAGAUGAUCGUGGCUCUUCUUCGUCCUCUAUAGGCAGUAGUAGUGGUCAUGGUGGUUGCCCUCCAUUUAGAGAACGUCUUUCAUGCAUCAGAGGUUGGAUUAGUUGUUGUUGGAUUGCAAGAGGUGGAAAUGGGGGCUGGAUUCCUUACAAUGGCUGUUGCUAAAGAAACUGUAGGACUCGAGGGGAGUGCUAAUGGGCAAUGGUGGUUGAAUGCAAUUUGGCAAGACCUUAGAUGAAGGAUCUUCUUUUCAACAUGUUGGUUCUAGGCAAUUAGCAGGGUUACUCAUUGCUGCAUGAUACACAGUGGUAGGUGUUUUGUCUCAGUCUCAAACCGACAAUCCUUUUUGAUUGUAGCUAGUAGAAGUACGCAUGCAGAUCAUUGCCUUCAAGACCGGCUAGCUAUUUUGUGCUCUUUGUUUUAAAUUUGAAUGUUAAUAUCUACUUUGAAAAAGAACUAUUUAGUCUUUGAAAUCAUUUGUUGAAUUCUACUUUGUAGUUGAAUUCUCCUGAAAAUACCAAUAUCUAUUUUGUAAUUGAAUUAUAUUAUUUUGGAUGAAUUCUAUUA